UCCGAUGAAAUCUCGGCCCGUAUACAUAAGACUCGAUCGGCUUUUGCCAAUCUGCGUCACUUGUGGCGUAGGCGAGACAUUCGUUUAA
rnacentral:precursor_RNA from 1 species